CAGUAGCCACGGUAAUACGUAGGUGGCGAGCGUUGUCCGGAAUUAUUGGGCGUAAAGGGAGCGCAGGCGGACAUAUAAGUCCAUCUUAAAAGUGCGGGGCUCAACCCCGUGAGGGGAUGGAAACUGUAUGCCUUGAGUGCAGGAGAGGAAAGCGGAAUUCCCAGUGUAGCGGUGAAAUGCGUAGAUAUUGGGAGGAACACCAGUGGCGAAGGCGGCUUUCUGGACUGUAACUGACGCUGAGGCUCGAAAGCCAGGGGAGCGAACGGGAUUAGAUACCCCAGUAGUCCCUGUCUCUUAUACA
rnacentral:rRNA from 1 species